rnacentral:rRNA from 1 species
UAUAACCGGCGAUACCCGAAUGGGGAAACCCAGUGUGACUCGUCACACUAUCAUUAACUGAAUCCAUAGGUUAAUGAGGCGAACCGGGGGAACUGAAACAUCUAAGUACCCCGAGGAAAAGAAAUCAACCGAGAUUCCCCCAGUAGCGGCGAGCGAACGGGGAGGAGCCCAGAGCCUGAAUCAGCAUGUGUGUUAGUGGAAGCGUCUGGAAAGGCGCGCGAUACAGGGUGACAGCCCCGUACACAAAAGCGCAUGUGCUGUGAGCUCGAUGAGUAGGGCGGGACACGUGGUAUCCUGUCUGAAUAUGGGGGGACCAUCCUCCAAGGCUAAAUACUCCUGACUGACCGAUAGUGAACCAGUACCGUGAGGGAAAGGCGAAAAGAACCCCGGCGAGGGGAGUGAAAAAGAACCUGAAACCGUGUACGUACAAGCAGUGGGAGCACCCUUUGGGGUGUGACUGCGUACCUUUUGUAUAAUGGGUCAGCGACUUAUAUUCUGUAGCAAGGUUAACCGUAUAGGGGAGCCGGAGGGAAACCGAGUCUUAACCGGGCGUUAAGUUGCAGGGUAUAGACCCGAAACCCGGUGAUCUAGCCAUGGGCAGGUUGAAGGUUGGGUAACACUAACUGGAGGACCGAACCGACUAAUGUUGAAAAAUUAGCGGAUGACCUGUGGCUGGGGGUGAAAGGCCAAUCAAACCGGGAGAUAGCUGGUUCUCCCCGAAAGCUAUUUAGGUAGCGCCUCGUGAACUCAUCUCCGGGGGUAGAGCACUGUUUCGGCUAGGGGGCCAUCCCGGCUUACCAACCCGAUGCAAACUGCGAAUACCGGAGAAUGUUAUCACGGGAGACACACGGCGGGUGCUAACGUCCGUCGUGAAGAGGGAAACAACCCAGACCGCCAGCUAAGGUCCCAAAGUCAUGGUUAAGUGGGAAACGAUGUGGGAAGGCCCAGACAGCCAGGAUGUUGGCUUAGAAGCAGCCAUCAUUUAAAGAAAGCGUAAUAGCUCACUGGUCGAGUCGGCCUGCGCGGAAGAUGUAACGGGGCUAAACCAUG